AUGUCUGACAUAUCCUUCGUCCAGAAUCUUCCUAAGGGGGAUAAGAUGGAAAUGGCUCCAGAGCUUUCCUACAACAUGUUCAAAGUUGCUUCUAUUUUUUCUCUUGUCUAUGUUGGACCGAUUGAUGUAUUGGCCCCGGGUAGUAUAUUCAAGGAGAUGGAUACUUGGAAAGAGAAGGUUAUAGUUAUGGAGUUGAAGUGUACCAACUUUUAG